rnacentral:rRNA from 1 species
CGCCAGACUCCUACGGGAGGCAGCAGUGAGGAAUAUUGGUCAAUGGCCGAGAGGCUGAACCAGCCAAGUCGCGUGAGGGAUGACGGCCCUACGGGUUGUAAACCUCUUUUGUCGGGGAGCAAAGAGAGUCACGUGUGGCUCAUUGAGAGUACCCGAAGAAAAAGCAUCGGCUAACUCCGUGCCAGCAGCCGCGGUAAUACGUGGGGGGCAAGCGUUAUCCGGAUUUACUGGGUGUAAAGGGAGCGUAGGUGGCAUGGCAAGCCAGAAGUGAAAACCCGGGGCUUAACCCCGCGGAUUGCUUUUGGAACUGUCAGGCUGGAGUGCAGGAGGGGCAGGCGGAAUUCCUGGUGUAGCGGUGAAAUGCAUAGAUAUCAGGAGGAACACCGGUGGCGAAGGCGGCCUGCUGGACUGUAACUGACACUGAGGCUCGAAAGCGUGGGGAGCAAACAGGAUUAGAUACCCCGGUA